rnacentral:lncRNA from 1 species
GGCAUUCGACUGGGCCGACGCCGAGCCUAUUGGGCCUCCAUUAGGGUUAGAGUUAGAGAUAGAAUUAGAUAUCUUACUUAGCAGUCAAGUAAACCUCUCCAUAUAUAGAGAGGAGAUGUAUCCAUUAAAGGGAAUCAAGUAAGAAUUAUCAGGAGAGAUCCUCAUCUACCUCCAGGCCUUGAGAUCGGACGCAGCUGUCAUGGGCGCUCGACUGGGCCGACACCGAGCCUAUUGGGCCUCCAUUAGGGUUAAGAGUUAGAGAUAGAAUUAGAUAUCUUAGCAGUCAAGUAAGCCUCUCCAUAUAUAUAGAGGAGAUGUAUCCAUUAAAGGGAAUCAAGUAAGAAUUAUCAGGAGAGAUCCUCAUCUACCUCCGGGCCUUGAGAUUGGGCGCAGCUGUCUUCGGCGUCCCCGAUCUCAAGUGUCCGGUUCAGCGUCCGUUUACC